AUACGGAGGGGGCUAGCGUUGUUCGGAAUUACUGGGCGUAAAGCGUACGUAGGCGGACUGAUCAGUUGGGGGUGAAAUCCCAGGGCUUAACCCUGGAACUGCCUUCAAUACUGUCAGUCUUGAGUUUGGGAGAGGUGAGUGGAAUUCCUAGUGUAGAGGUGAAAUUCAUAGAUAUUAGGAGGAACACCAGUGGCGAAGGCGGCUCACUGGCCCAUUACGGACGCUGAGGUACGAAAGCGUGGGGAGCAAACAGGAUUAGAAACCCUAGUAGUCC
rnacentral:rRNA from 1 species